rnacentral:lncRNA from 1 species
CUCAUCAGAAGGAGCUGAAAUGUCUCUGAAGAGACUUGGUCACUAUCUUCAGAAGUCCAAGGCACUGAGGAAAGGCCUUGUGAACACAUAACAAGAAGGUGGCUGCCUGCAAACCAGGAAGAGAGGCCUCACCUGAAACCAAAUCAACCAGAAUCUUCAUGUUAGACUUCUAGCCUCCAGAUCCGUGAGAAGCAGAGGGACUCUCCCAAACCCAGCUCUGACCACGGCCAUCUCUUAGUUCAAGACCCCAAUAAUUUACAGACCAGCCCUGAGCCAACAUCCGUGCCGAUCCUCCUCUACCCCAUAUGUGGGAUGCCCACCACAGCAUGGCUUGCCAAGCCGUGCCAUAUCCCUACUCGGGAUCCGAACUGACGAACCCCAGGCCGCCG